ensembl:lncRNA
AUAUGCUGUUCUGCAUUUACAAAAUAGAUUAUAUUGACUCCUUCAGUAAGUUGUUGUAAUUUCUUUGUUACCAUAAUUAAUUACUCAUAUUCUCCGGCCCCUUAUUUUGCCUCAGUUUCAUGAACCGGCCCCAAUUCCAAAUGAAUUGAAUAUCCCUGUCCUAGAGCUUCAUCAACAAGGUGGAACUUUCACAGUCGUGCUGUUAACACCAUUUUUGAGCACAAGGACGAUCUCCUGAAAUAUUUUCGGACCAUCAGAGAGAAUGAUCAUGUAGACAUGCUGUUUAACCAGCUGCAAAAGAGGAACAUCGACUCUGUCUACAUCACAGGAGUCAUUCAGAGGUUCACCAACAGCAUACAAGCUAUCAGCAGCCAUCCACAAAGAAACGGAAGGCCCUAGGCCAAGAGGAGCAGCACCGGUUAGCUACAGAGGUCGUUUGUACUGCCACGGAUUACGACCCACUGGAGCGUAUCAAGCGCCUCUACAGGUCGCGGGAGGUAUGUAUGCCACAUAUAUGACCAACAGGGCAUUUGGUGAAAUUGUUCCGUAGCCAUAUUAAUCGUUAUUAUCUGAAUGGGAAAUGCAAUAUUUUAGGACAGAUACACCAUUAAACGUGUUUCUAAUGACAUUUCUAGCGAGAAAUGUAAAUUUUCCUUGCAUAAUCUUCACUCAGUGAAUGUGUAUGAUCUUUAUUAAUCUUUAUUAUCUGAAUGGGAAAUGCAAUAUUUUAGGAUUGAUU